rnacentral:lncRNA from 10 species
GUCGGCCUCGGGGCUCUGCUCUCCUACCUCAGUCUGCCCUACCCUGGAAUGGGGAAAAUGCGGACAUGCCACUCAGUCCGGCCGCGAACAGUGCUCCAGAACUCAGAGAGUUUUCCAGACGGGUGGAGAUCGCGUUCCCUGCCCGCCGAGGUCCCAUCGCUUCCCUGCUGGGAAGACAAAUGAGGCGCUUUAGCCGUCUCCACGGCCAGCCCCUCCCUCAUAACCCGAGAUUCUUUGUGGGCUCUUAGUCCAUAGCUGCCUUUGAGGUGGUGUAGACCUUGCUAACCAGGACGGCCCAGUAGGCAGAGCUCAUUUUUAUUCCUGUCUGCAAUCGUGCAAAAACGCCUCUUAUGGAAAAGCCAGAGCGCCAGGAGUCAGCAAAACACACUAAAGAUUGGGCAGUCACUGGGGAGAACUGCAAUUAACCUUUAAGAUACUACGUGUCAGGCCUCUGAGCCCAAACUAAGCCAUCAUAUCCCCUGUGACCUGCAUGUAUACAUACAGAUGGCCUGAAGCAACUGAAGAUCCACAAAAGAAGUGAAAAUAGCCUUAACUGAUGACAUUCCACCAUUGAGAUUUGUUCCUGCCCCACCCUAACUGAUACGAUAUAUUCUCCCCCGCCCUUAAGAAGGUACUUUGUGAUAUUCUCCCUGCCCUUGAGAAUGUACUUUGUACGCCUAUCCCAAACCUAUAAGAACUAAUGAUAAUCCCACCACCCUUUGUUGACUCCUUUUUAGACUCAGCCCGCCUGCACCCAGGUGAAAUAUACAGCCUUGUUGCUCACACAAAGCCUGUUUGGUGGUUUCUUCACACGGAUGCAUGUGACAUUUGGUGCUGAAGACCCAGGACAGGAGGACUCCUUUGGGAGACCAGUGCCCUGUUGUCGCCCUCACUCCGUGAGGAGAUCCACCUAUGAUCUCAGGUCCUCAGACCAACCAGCCCAAGGAACAUCUUGCCAAUUUCAAAUCGGGUAAG